rnacentral:rRNA from 1 species
CCUACGGGUGGCAGCAGUGGGGAAUAUUGGGCAAUGGGCGCAAGCCUGACCCAGCAACGCCGCGUGAAGGAAGAAGGCUCUCGGGUUGUAAACUUCUUUUGUCAGGGACGAAGCAAGUCACGGUACCUGACGAAUAAGCCACGGCUAACUACGUGCCAGCAGCCGCGGUAAUACGUAGGUGGCAAGCGUUAUUCGGAUUUACUGGGUGUAAAGGGCGCGUAGGCGGGACUGCAAGUCAGAUGUGAAAACGACGGGCUCAACCGGUGGCCUGCAUUUGAAACUGGAGUUCUUGAGUACUGGAGAGGCAGGCGGAAUUCCUAGUGUAGCGGUGAAAUGCGUAGAUAUUAGGAGGAACACCAGUGGCGAAGGCAGCCUGCCGGAGUGCAACUGACGCUGAGGCUCGAAGGUGCGGGUAUCGAACAGGAUUAGAUACCCUUGUAGUC